rnacentral:rRNA from 1 species
UGAGGAACAUGACCUUCGGCGGGGGGAUAGCCGGCCCAACGGCCGGGUAAUACCGCGUACGACCACUCGGGGACAUCCCCAGGUGGUGAAAGCAGCAAUGCGCCGAUGGAGUGCCUCGCGGCCUAUCAGCUAGUUGGUGAGGUAACGGCUCACCAAGGCGACGACGGGUAGCUGGUCUGAGAGGAUGGCUAGCCACAUUGGGACUGAGACACGGCCCAGACUCCGUACGGGAGCAG